GACGAACGCUGGCGGCGUGCUUAACACAUGCCAGUCGAACGGAAAGGCCCUGCUUUUGUGGGGUGCUCGAGUGGCGAACGGGUGAGUAACACGUGAGUAACCUGCCCUUGACUUUGGGAUAACUUCAGGAAACUGGGGCUAAUACCGGAUAGGAGCUCCUGCUGCAUGGUGGGGGUUGGAAAGUUUCGGCGGUUGGGGAUGGACUCGCGGCUUAUCAGCUUGUUGGGGGGGUAGUGGCUUACCAAGGCUUUGACGGGUAGCCGGCCUGAGAGGGUGACCGGCCACAUUGGGACUGAGAUACGGCCCAGACUCCUACGGGAGGCAGCAGUGGGGAAUAUUGCACAAUGGGCGGAAGCCUGAUGCAGCAACGCUGCGUGCGGGAUGACGGCCUUCGGGUUGUAAACCGCUUUCGCCUGUGACGAAGCGUGAGUGACGGUAAUGGGUAAAGAAGCACCGGCUAACUACGUG
rnacentral:rRNA from 1 species